GUUUGUUAAUUUUUUAGCUUCGUUAAACCCCUACAAGAAGACUACCUGGGUCCUGGGAGAUUGUUAAAGAAUCAGUGGGUUUUGCCCGAAGUCUUAAUUGUUACUCUAUAUUUGGUUUAUCAUUCGAUGUAUGGUUGCCUCUACAUGGAGUAAUUGUUUCAUUAUAAAAUUCCUCUCGUUUGCCGUGGUUGGUCGCGCGCUUUUCGUAGACUACACUUUGAAAAUAUCGAAAACGAUGCCUAAAAAAUAAGGAGGUUCUAAUCUUGGCGCUUCAGCAAUCGAGCAUCCAAGACACAGGCAAGAACAUCCCCAGAUUGUAAACCAAGGCAUGGCUGGUUCAAGUGACAACAGUGCCACCAAUAUCAUAAUGAACCAUGACUUCUCUGGAGGAUUGCAUUCUUGGCACCCAAAUUGCUGUGAUUACUUUGUGGUUUCGACAGAGUUAGGUCACCCAGGAUUCUUAAAAAAGCCAGGUGGUAAUUAUGCAGUUGUCUCAAAUCGAAAAGAAUGCUGGCAGGGCUUGGAGCAAGAUAUCACGAACAUGGUUUCUCCAGGUUCCACUUAUUAUGUUUCUGCAUGUGUUGGGGUAUCAGGACCUAUUCAGGGACUGACUGAUGUCCUAGCAACUUUGAGACUGGAAUAUCGGGAUUCACCAAUUGGCUAUUUGUUCAUUGGAAAAAUUUCUGUGUCGAAGGAGAGGUGGGAAAAGUUGGAAGGAACAUUCUCCCUGUCAACCAUGCCUGACCGCAUUGUUUUUUUCUUGGAAGGCCCUUCUCCUGGAGUGGACUUGCUUAUACAAUCAGUAGUUAUUACCUGCUCCAGUCCAAGUGACUUAGGCGAUACAAGCAAUCGAUGCCACAAUACUGGAGUUAGAGAUGAGAACAUCAUUUUAAAUCCCAAAUUUGAGGAUGGCCUGAAUAACUGGUCUGGAAGAGGCUGCAAGAUUGUCUUGCAUGAUUCGAUGGCUGAUGGGAAAAUUGUCCCCCAGUAUGGAAAAGUUUUUGCAUCUGCAACUGAACGUACCCAGAGCUGGAACGGAAUCCAGCAGGACAUAACUGGAAGAGUGCAGAGAAAGCUAGCUUAUGAGGCUGUUGCUGUAGUUCGGAUAUUUGGUAACAAUGUUACCAGUGCUGUUGUGCAGGCUACUUUAUGGGUCCAAACGCCAGAUCUCCGAGAACAAUAUAUAGGCAUUGCCAAGUUAGCAUUUUUUGCCCCUCUAUAUAAUCUCCAUAUAUAAUUAUCUUUUAUCACCUUGAAUCUCUGCAAACAGUAUUUUCUUAGUCUCCCCUUCAUUCAUUUGGCUUUAUAUAUGAAUUUUUAUAUUUUAAUUUUGUGAUAUGUGCAUAUGUGGUUUUAGGUUUUAUGCAAUUAUAUCAUUUUUAUCAUUUUCAUCAAUCAAAUCAACUUAUAUAGAAUUGGACUGCUUUCAUUAGAGCCUUUUUUUCUGUAGUCUGCAGGCAACAGAUAAGGACUGGGUACAGUUACAGGGAAAGUUCCUUCUAAAUGUUAACCCUAAAAGGGUUGUAAUUUACAUAGAAGGUCCACCUGCAGGCACUGAUAUUCUUGUCAAUAGUUUUGUUGUAAAGCAUGCUGAGAAAAUACCUCCCUCACCUCCUCCAGCAAUUGAGGUUGGUUGAACUGAGUAAUUUGAAUAUUAAACUUUUCUUCAGUUUAUGCACUGGUUUUUUUGUGAAAGCAUUAUUGAAGGUGAGUCACAAGGGUUUAAAGCCUAAAUUGGUUGACGCAUUAACUUUAACCUGUAAGAUCUUUUACAUGUUUUUUACGGAGAUAUUUCAAGCUGAAAUUUUGAUUUCUACAUUUUAUUCAGUAGAACCACUAGCAUCUGAAGCACUAGAAUGUGGUGUUUAUUUUGCAGAAUCCUGCUUAUGGAGUUAAUAUAAUUCAGAACAGUAAUUUGAGUGAUGGAACCAAUGGGUGGUUUCCUCUUGGUAAUUGCACUCUCGGUGUUGCAACUGGUUCCCCGCACAUACUUCCACCAAUGGCAAGGGACUCCCUUGGACAUCAUGAACCAUUAAGCGGUUGCUGCAUCCUUGCCAGUAAACGCACAGAGACUUGGAUGGGCCCUGCACAGAUAAUCACAAAUAAUAUCAAACUCUUCUUGACAUACCAGGUAUCUGCUUGGGUUAAGAUUGGUUAUGGAGCAACUGGUCCUCAAAAUGUGAAUGUUGCACUUGGAGUGGAUAACCAAUGGGUCAAUGGGGGAGAAGUUGAGAUUAGCAAUGAAAGAUGGCAUGAAAUUGGUGGGUCAUUCAGAAUUGAAAAGCAGCCGUCUAAGGUCAUGGUUUAUGUGCAAGGUCCUGCUCCAGGUGUUGACUUCAAGGUUGCUGGACUUCAAAUUUUCCCUGUUGACCGAGAGGCACGAUUUAAACAUUUGAGAAGGCAGACUGACAAGAUCCGUAAGCGCGAUGUCACCCUGAAAUUCUCAGGUGUGGAUUCAGGAAGUUUACUUGGUACAUUCAUUAAAGUCAAUCAAACACAAAACAGUUUUCCCUUUGGUUCAUGCAUGAGCAGGACGAACAUAGAUAAUGAAGAUUUUGUUAGAUUCUUUGUGAAAAAUUUUAACUGGGCUGUGUUUGGAAAUGAAUUGAAAUGGUAUUGGACCGAAGCACAGCAAGGACACUUCAACUACAGAGAUGCUGAUGAGAUGUUGGACAUGUGCAUUAAAAACAACAUAGAAACCCGGGGUCAUUGUAUCUUCUGGGAAGUCGAAGACACAGUCCAGUCAUGGGUUAAAGCUCUGAACAAAAAUGACUUGAAGAAAGCUGUUCAAAAUCGUCUAACUGGCCUACUCACUCGGUACAAGGGAAAAUUCAGGCAUUAUGACAUGAACAAUGAGAUGUUGCAUGGAUCUUUCUAUCAAGAUCAGUUGGGCAAAGAUAUCCGUGCAAACAUGUUCAAGAUUGCCAAUCAGAUAGAUCCAUCCGCUACCCUUUUUGUAAAUGAUUAUCAUGUUGAGGAUGGAAAUGACACCAGAUCAUCUCCAGAAAAGUAUAUAGCACAGAUUCUUGAUUUGCAAGAACAAGGUGCUCCCGUUGGAGGAAUUGGAAUUCAAGGACAUAUAGAUAGUCCAGUUGGGCCUAUUGUCUGUUCUGCUCUUGAUAAAUUGGGUAUUCUUGGUCUUCCAAUCUGGUUUACAGAGCUUGAUGUAUCUUCCAUUAAUGAAUAUGUUAGAGGGGAUGAUUUGGAAGUCAUGCUUCGAGAGGCUUAUGCUCAUCCUGCAGUGGAAGGCAUUAUGCUCUGGGGAUCUUGCGAGUUGUUCAUGAGCCGAGACAAUGCUCACUUGGUUAAUGCAGAAGGUGAACUCAAUGAAGCUGGUAGAAGAUACCUUGCUCUUAAAGAAGAGUGGCUGACUGGUGCUCGUGGGCAUAUUAAUGAGCAAGGAGAAUUCACAUUUAGAGGAUUUCAUGGGACAUAUAAGGUGGAAAUUGCUACUCUUUGCAAGAAGAUUACAAAAACAUUUGUUGUUGAUAAGGGAGACACUCCUCUGGUGGUAUCCACAGAAUUGAAGUAAGUUCUCAAAUAUCAAGUGAUUGCUGAUGAACAAACUAAAAAUUUAAUAACGUUUUUGUGUAAAUAAAUUGAAAUAUAUUCAAGCAUGAUCGUUCAUAACGUUCGUAUAAAAGGAAUAAAAGUUCAAUGCUUGGUUGUGAGAUUGUAUUCUCUUUUGCUUCCAUUGUUGAAUAUAUGAACUAGAGCUGUCG
rnacentral:misc_RNA from 1 species